UUGAACGCUGGCGGUAUGCUUUACACAUGCAAGUCGAACGGCAGCACGGGGCAACCUGGUGGCGAGUGGCGAACGGGUGAGUAACAUAUCGGAACAUGUCCGGAAGUGGGGGAUAACGUACCGAAAGGUACGCUAAUACCGCAUAUGCCCCGAGGGGGAAAGGGGGGGAUCGCAAGACCUCUCGCUUUCGGAGUGGCCGAUAUCGGAUUAGCUAGUAGGUGAGGUAAAGGCUCACCUAGGCGACGAUCCGUAGCUGGUCUGAGAGGACGACCAGCCACACUGGAACUGAGACACGGUCCAGACUCCUACGGGAGGCAGCAGUGGGGAAUUUUGGACAAUGGGCGCAAGCCUGAUCCAGCCAUACCGCGUGAGUGAAGAAGGCCUUCGGGUUGUAAAGCUCUUUCAGCCGGAAAGAAAUCGUGCAACCUAAUACGUUGUAUGGAUGACGGUACCGGAAGAAGAAGCACCGGCUAACUACGU
rnacentral:rRNA from 1 species